rnacentral:rRNA from 1 species
CGGGUGAGUAACACGUGAGUGACCUGCCUUUUAGACUGGAACAACUUACCGAAAGGUGAGCUAAUGCCGGAUGAGUUAUAUAAGUGCAUGUUUAUAUAGGAAAAGUUGGGGAGACCUGACGCUGAAAGAUGGACUCGCGUCCCAUUAGNUAGUUGGUAGGGUAAUGGCCUACCAAGGCGACGAUGGGUAGCCGGCCUGAGAGGGUGGCCGGCCACACUGGGACUGAGACACGGCCCAGACUCCUACGGGAGGCAGCAG